UAAACUGUGGAGUACAUUUGAAAAUAAAAUUUUUAAUUAUGUUUGACAUCUCAGGCCCAGUGCUGUCAUCUCGUGUGAAAGUAACAUCUGUUUUGACAUCUCCAGUGGUAAAGACUUUAAAUCAGAUUCCACAUCCCUUAUCUGCUGGCUAAUCAGAAUGGAUGCCACAUUCUUCUUACCAACACAUUUUCAGCCAUCAAUUUCAUGGGACAGAUGAGCAGACUAGAAGACAGAAAGAAUUCCACUGUGGCAACAUGAGAUGUACCAGUUGUGAUGAAGCUCAUCUCCACCCUUGUACUUCCCUAGGUCCAGUUCUGACUGGUCGGUUUGGCGCUUGGUUUCGAGUUACCAAGAGUGAAUCAUUAGGCUGCAAAAUGGUAACUGGCUUUGGGAAAGGGAAGGAGGAGUUAGAAAGUGAAAAGAAAAAAA
rnacentral:lncRNA from 1 species